rnacentral:rRNA from 1 species
AUACGGAGGAUCCGAGCGUUAUCCGGAUUUAUUGGGUUUAAAGGGAGCGUAGGCGGACGCUUAAGUCAGUUGUGAAAGUUUGCGGCUCAACCGUAAAAUUGCAGUUGAUACUGGGUGUCUUGAGUACAGUAGAGGCAGGCGGAAUUCGUGGUGUAGCGGUGAAAUGCUUAGAUAUCACGAAGAACUCCGAUUGCGAAGGCAGCCUGCUGGACUGUAACUGACGCUGAUGCUCGAAAGUGUGGGUAUCAAACAGGAUUAGAUACCCUGGUAGUCCACACAGUAAACGAUGAAUACGCGCUGUUUGCGAUAUACAGUAAGCGGCCAAGCGAAAGCGUUAAGUAUUCCACCUGGGGAGUACGCCGGCAACGGUGAAACUCAAAGGAAUUGGCGGGG